AUUUACUUUCUGCUACAUUAAAAAUGAAAUGGAAAAGCAUGUUCUUAGCACAGUCUUAGGGGUGUCAUAUGGCACAGGCACCACCUGCUUGUCUGAUGACAUGAACUAUUUGUGAAGUCCUCCAUGAAAUUUGAUCUUCAAAUGCUGUCCAUCUUGAUCCUAUGAGACUUCUCAGAAGGGCAAUUCCUUUUGGAAGGGAUCUCGGGAGCCCUGUAGUCAAUCUGCUGAAAACAACAUCUGCAAGGUUAGAUCAGGUUGCUUUGAGCUUUACAUAAUCAGAUCUUGAAACCUCCAAGGACGGCAACUAAACAGUUUGUGAUUAACCACUUUACUGCUAGGCAUUUCUUAUAAUGAAAGCCAGUCCAAAUCGCUAUUUCAAAUUAUGCCUUUAUGGUGUUUGGGAAUCCCAAAACUGGAUGCAUUAUUUUAUAUGUGGUCUAGAGGCAACUGAGUGUUUUUAAGACUUUAGUUUUUUCAUUCAUCUUGUUAAAAAAAAAAAAAAUCUCCCACUGCUGAAGGUACUGGCUUUAGAAGUUUUCUUAAUCCUCAGUAAGUUGCAGUUCUUCCUUCCUGGGGAGUCAGUGCUCUUGAGUUAUCAUACUCAAAGAGAGCAUGGCAGAAAUCAUUACUGGAAAGGUAUCUGAACAUAUUAGCAGAAUCGUUAUAUAAUUACUGAGGAAAAAGAGCUAUCUUUUUCAGGAUGACUAAAAAUGAUAAUAGGCUUUGGGUCCUGUAGGACAUUUAUAUUGUCUCCCCUCUAAACUUCUCCUGCCCCACAGAAGCAGUUUCCUACUUCUCUCUAAGCAAGCACUCUUCUUCCAAAAUGCAGAUGUUUGACUUUCCUCCUUGGGCAGCAGCUUACCAGCCCCACAGAGGUAUCUUCCCCCUCUUAUUCUUCACUGUAUUCAAACUACUUCCUCCCUUAGGAAGACCUGACGCAUACAGAUCAGUCCUUUUGCCCUUCCUCUUUCAAAAGAACUGUGGCAUUAGCAAGCCUCUCAGCACACUGAGAUGUGGUAGGUACAGCAAAAGCUGCUGGAACAGCAGGUUCCAACUGGGAGAAAGAAAGUUUGAAUGGAAAAAUCCUGUAGGAUUUCUGGUGGACCAUGAUGAUUUCUGUCGAAGAUGGGUAUCUUAAAAUGUUCAGCUCUUUUGUGGUGAACAGCUGGGAACUUUAAGAUCUGAAUGUACUUCAUUCAUCCCAAAGGAAGCAUCUCUGUACAGCUUUAAUAGAAAACAGAUGCUGUGCCUGGUGGGUGUCUUUCCUGCCUAAAAUACAGCAGUUUCACAGCUGUGUCAGGGCUCUUCAGAACUCUGCUAGCUGCUGUUCUGGUCCAGUCGACAUGAAUGGAUGGGCUGGCUAAGGUGACUGCUCAAUGAAGAUUUCUCUUUCUAACUGAAUAUCUCAAUCUUUUCAGCCCUGAAUAAAUGAGUAAGGAUGGGGAGGAAGAGACAAAGAGAAGGGCUUCUUAUGAGGGGAGAUAGAGGCUAGAAACAUGCUGGGAGCCACAGAUAAUGAAAACUACUUUUUAUAAACAGCUUUCUGUCCUAACUAAUUUGUUUAGUCAGAAAUGAUCACACAAAAUCAAAGAAAUACCACAAAAUUUUGUUAAAUAUUUUCCUCCAGAUAUGACACCUUUCUAUUUCUUUUUCAAGUUUAUUUUAAAGCUAAUGUCAUAGCUCUAAAACAUACUAAAAAUGCAUCACAUCCUGCAACAGCUCACAGUACCUGACACUUUUAUGAAUCUAGUUUUUGAUAUGUCCUGUCUUUUAUAGUAAGCAUACUUCAGAAUGGAUACAGAAACCCAGGUUCUUAUCUAGAUCCUUGGCUAAAAAGUUAAAUCUGCAGUAUUACAGUAUUUGAUGAGGAGUCUCCUCAGAGAGAAUGCUGCAAUAUUACUAAAAAUAAAGAAAGAGAAAAUGCAUGUAUAGCCCUUUUAUCCACUCACUUUGUUGUGUAAUUUACACAUCCUGGAUUUGAUUUGAGCUGGAAUAUGAUAAUACUGAGUUUUCUGAAGAUUCAGAUGGAUGGCUAUUUUAUUAGGAGAAAGUAAACUUGAUUCUCUAGUGUUUCCAUUGGAUUUGAACUCUGAGUGAUCAUUCCAUGCCUAAAGUUACAUCACUAUUCUAGAAUAUAGAAGUGUCUGAUUAAAGUCCCCACCUCAUCUGCUUCAGAGCAGAAUUUUAAACUUCUAUUAUACUAUUGUCUGCUUCUCCUUCAGUAGAGACCAGGGAAUCUCAGAACUCCAUAGAGGUAACUGCUGCACAAGGUGCUCCUAACAACCAGUGCAAACAGUUCUGCAUCAUGAUAAGCACACAUGAAAGACCAGAUUGAUCUGACCUUGUUCAGUCGAAAUGUAGGGAAAGACAACGGCAGAUAUCCAGUUCUAAAUUACCCCAAAAAGGGUGAUAGUCAUAAUCCAGUUAAAGAAAAAAAAAUUGCUUACCUGUCCCAAGAAUCAACACUCACUAAAUAUUCCAAAAGGAGGGAUCUCCAGCUCGAGACCCUACCCUUGUCUCAGCUCAGCCUUAGGGAGGGGAAGAACCUGAUCUCACUCCUUCCAGUUGUACAGGUGAACUGCUUUUACCUGUGCUCCUAGGGCUGGCUAUGUCCCUUCACCAGGUGCUCAAUCACUGGUUCAGGCUGUGACUUAGCAAUUCCCAUAUACUAAGUAUGGAAUACCUAAAGAAGAUGACACCUUUUAUGUAUAUCUUGAGAGCAUAGGUUGGUUUCUCCGGGAGUAACUUUAGCUACUCAUGAUGAAGAAACAUUCCUUCAUCAACACAGAAACAGAUUCUUUUUUCUUUAUACUGUUAGCAAAGAGGUGAAGAUCAAUAAAAUGUAAAAGCCACCUUGCAUUUUAAUAGAAAUUGUUACUAUUCAUUAUGAUUGAGUUUUCAAUUUUAUUUUUAAAUUUUUGAUAAUGAUUUUAUUCAGUAACUGCAAAAGACUAAUUUUUCCUGACAGUUUACAACAAAUUUGUUUGUCAUCCCAAGCUGGAACAUAAUCAACCACCCAGAAAAAGCAUAAAUGAGGUGCAUUAAUAGGGUGGGAGUAGGACUGGCACAAAUAAUAAGUUGUCCAUGACUUUGUUUGUUUUGUUGUUUGUUCUCUCCCCGAGUGUCUUCAGUAAAAAGAAAUACUGUUUACUUUAUUUAAACUAUUGAUUUUUUUUAGAGGAUCUACUUUUUAGUUGUUGUUUUGUUUUGUUUUGUUUCUAUAUAAAUAUUUUUUUCUCUGAGGAAGAAAGUUAGAUGCUUCAAAUACACACCCUUACCCUGCUGGCCACAGUUCUGUUGAUGUAGCCUAGGAUAUGGUUGGCUUUCUGGACUACAAGGGCACACUGCUGACUUAUGUCCAGCUUGCCAUCCACCAGUACGACCAAGCCCUUUUCUGCAGGGCUGCUGAAUGGCAGCACAAUUUUCUGGUGUGUCAGUCACUCUUUCCAGCUCUCUAUUGUCAGCAAACUUGCUGAGGGUGGACUCUAUCCCUUCAUCCAAGUCACUGAUGAAUAUGUCGAAGAAGACCAGUCCCAGCACCAACCCCUGGGGAACACCACUAAUUAUAGGCCUCUAACCAGACUCUUCACCACUGAUGACAACUUUCUGAGCUAUGCCAGUCAGUCAGUUCUCAAUCCACUUUGCUGCCCACUCAUCCAUCCCACAGUUUCUAAGCUUCUUUACAAGAAUGUUGUGGGGAGACAGUGUCAAACACCUUGCUGAAGUCAAGGUAUGUAACAUCCACUGUUCUCUGCCCAUCUACUGAGCCAGUGAUGACAUCACAGAAAAUUACCAGGUUGGUUGAGCAGGAUUUCCCUUUGGUCAAUCCAUGCUGACUUCUCCUGAUAACCUUCACUUCUAAUUGCUUGGAGAUAGCAUCCAGAACAAGUUAUUCCAUCACCUUUCCAGGGAUGGAGGUGAGGCUGACUGGCAUUUAGUUUCCUGGAUGCUCCCUCUUGCACUUUUUGAAAACUGGAGUGACAUUAGCUAUCCUCCAGUCUUCAGGCCUCUCUUUCAUUCAUCAAGACCUUCCAAAGAUGACAGAUGUCAGUUUGGCAAUCACUUCUGCCAGCUCCUGCAGCACACACAGUUGCAUCUCAAUGGGGCGCAUGGGAUUGUGUGCAUUGAUUUUAGCUAGGCAUUCUCUGAUCAGAUUCAUCUCAACCAAGGGGAAGCCUUCAGUUCCCCAGACUCUCUCUUAACUCCAGGGUCUGGGAGCAGCCUUUGUAGACUGAAGCAAAGAAGGCAUUCAGUGUCUCUGCCUUCUCACUGCUCCCUAUUACCGGGACAUCUACCUUGGUUAAGCCAUGUUGGUUAUCUCAUAUCACCUCCUUCUCUUCCAUGUCCCUUUGCAUACAUUCCAGCAGGAUCUGCUCCAUGGUCUUCCCUGGCACAGAAGUGAGGCUAACAGGUCGAUAAUUCCCUAGGUCAAUCUUUCUUUCCCUCUUAAAAGUAAGUGCAGUAAUGCCUUUUUUCUAGUCACUGGGGACUUCACCUGACCUCCGUGACUUUUCAAAUAUCACUGAGAGUGCCUUGUCAGCAACACUGGCCAGUUUCCUCAGGACUCUGGGAUGCAUCUCAUUGGGAACCAUAGACUUUCAGAUGACCUUUGUGUACAGCAUGAGAGAGAUUGUUCCCCUACUUCCCACCUUCCAAACCAUUUGCUCAAGGGCUCUGUAAAGAGCAGCUGACAGUGAAGACUGAGGCAAAAAACUAGUUGAGUACCUCAGCCCUCUCCUUGUCCAUUGUUACUAGUUUGCCUGUAUUGCUCAGUAGGGUGAGCUAUGCCAUCUUAGACUCUUUUUUUUCCUGCUUCAUGCCAUUCAAAUACCUGAGGUAACUAUUCACAUUCAAACAGAAAAAUAUACCAUAUCUAUGCUCUUUCUUUUUGUACAAUAAUGGAGUGAGAAAACUAACUGUAGUUUUGCAGUUCUGAUGAAACUGAAGAUAUGCUUGCCUACAAUCAUAGCUGUGCAAAAGAGUUUUUUUUAAUGGUUUCAACUUUUGGAGGCUUCAGAUUAAUAUGCUAGGAAGUUCUCUGUGCAAUCACAAAUACUGUGAUCUCUUUCAGGCAUGAAACUGUCACAUUAGUGGAUCCUCCCACUGCUUUUUCAUUGUCCUCAAAUCCUCUAAGUAUUAUGUGCUGCUAUGGUGACUUCAGGAGCAGCAUAUGAUUAGUCUGGAGAAUCUUAAACAAGAAAAUCUUAGGCAAUUUAUAGGUGUGUCCACAUUACUGUUUUGUAUUAGAUGAGGAGACUCUUUACAGUUGUGCUUUGUCUUGCAGUAUUUUUGGAGUGCUCUUACUCAAUUAUUUCCUCAUGACUGAAUUGGUAAGAGAUGCUGUGCUGUAAGAGUGCAGCUAAUGAGCUCUAACUCCUAAUGGGCAGUUAGUUCACAGGAUCAAACUGGAAGGCAGGAAUAACACUUUCAAAUAUAUAUGACUUAGAUUGCUCAUCCUCUGCAGCAAAUAAUUCACUGUAUAGAUUUCACUCUUGUGCCAUGUAUUUGCUAAAUUACACAUAGCCUAUAUUCAUCCUUCUUCCAUUGUAUUUUCUAUUGCAUCAGCAACAGUGGAAUUAUAUGUCCUCUACUCCGUAUGUGGAGGAAAGGAUCUGUAAAGGGGCACAAAGCUUUUAAAGAGAAACAGCCAUUUUUAGAUGCAGUGAUCUCAGCUGGAUUUAGCUUCAGAAGUAUCAAGGACAACAUAAGAGAGAGAUAAAUAUAGGGUAGGCAUUUAAGACUUGAUGCAGCUAUUUUAAUUCCAAUAUCUGAUAAGGAUGCUAUGUCUGAACUGAUUUCUUCACUUGGUAGUAAAUGCACAUUUCACUGAUUUCAGCAGAGAUUAUAUGACAAGGUCAGAGUUCAGCUUUCAUCUAAAAGUCACUUCUGCUGAGAGUAAGAGAAAUCCAGUUCAAGCUUUCAACUCAGGUAAACAGGCACAUUUUAGAUUUUUUUUUUCAACCUGACAGUUUUAAGCUAAUUUAUCAAGGUGCAAAAAAUCACUAGGGAAGAACAAAAGUGUAAUUUAUUGACUGCAGCAGUAUUUUUUCAAAUUAUUGAAAUGCUAUUCCUUCCCCCAUCCUUUCUCUGAACUUACUAUGCUAUCCCUUACUGAAGACUAAAAAUCUAGGUUACGAUGAUCAUCUCCAUGCGAAUGAGUAAAUUUGUUUCAUUAUUCAGAAGACUGAAGGACAUUACAAGGUCUGGAUAUUCCCAGAAAUAAACCUGCAUGUGGUUUGAUGCUGCUUCCCCUAUCUUUGGUAAAGACUAAGAAAGCAGAAAACCAAGUAUAUUUGAAACUGACUCCAGCUGAAUUUCUGUAGAACAAUUGUCAAGCUAUUCACUGUAUAAUGGCAACAUGCAAAGCCAAAAAAGGGCUUUCGAAGCUGAUGACCUCUGCCUGUUCUUCUGUCCUUACUGAGAUACAUCUUUCUCUCAUUCUUUUUUCUGGAAGCUGGUAUACUGUGGUACUCCCAACAAAUCAAGCAAGAAGAAAUUGUUUACAGUUCUUGGUUUCUCAACUCUCCACUUAGUGGUCUUGCAAUGCUUUCCAGGCUUUGUUUCACACCCCUUGCAUUCCUCAGUAACCUGUGAAUUCUGCUCAGGAGAGUUUUGUUUCACAGCUGACAACAUUUCUACACUUCUCAUUUCACUGGUCAACUGCAGAAAUGAUCUGUAUCUCCUGGAGUCCUUUCAGGCUUGUUUCACUGGUUUUGGGCUGACUGUUCCAUAGAUCUUUCAGAUGAACUUGAUUAGGCUUACUAUCAUCCUACUUAAAACUGUCAGAAGAUUCUUUGAUUAAAGCUCUUCAUGGGACCACCAUAUGGUCAGAGGAAGAUGAAGGAAGGAGAAUGUAAUCAGGAUACAAAGUUACAAGAAAUAUUUACCCAUACCCUAUACUAAAUUUUGUAUUAAAAUAUUCUUGUGAAAAGUAUUAGACAUAUUCUUGUGAAAAAUACUCCUUGAUAAUUGACUUUAAACAUUUUGUAAUGUUUAACUGCAAUGUUUAAUUUUGUGGAAUUCUUUAAAGGCUUAUAUGACACUGAUUUGGGUCUUGUUUGAUGUAAGAUAUACGGCUAAAUAGCCAGAACUUUCAGAGCUAAUAUUGCUCAGAUCAAGAAACAAGCCUUAGUUAGAAAGUGGAAAAUUACCACUGUUAUGGACAAAAAACCCUCUGCUCUCCUGUUUUAAAAUGUUGCAGAUAAUGACAGAAAACAAUUGACAUUGGUUGUGGAGUAUUUUGUUUCUGCUUUUGUUGUACUUUCCCCCCCCCUUUUCAUUCUUGAUUAUGGGAACAUGUUAUAACCUUAUAAAGUGCACAUUCAUAUAAGCUUUCGAAGAUGUAGCUAACAGCAUGUUCAUCCUCUGUAAAGAAGACUUUGAAGAAAACUGGAUGGCCACUCUGUUUACUAUAUACUCUGCCAACUGUGUUGCAAAUUAAUAUACUGACUACUGCUGGGCAAAAUGGUUUGCAGGUUUUCAGUGUGAAUGUGAACUGUUGCCGUAAAUAUAGAUUUAUAGAUCAAACACUUGGCAGUGCUGAGAACAUUGAGAAUGAUGACAUCUCUCCACAGACAGAAGCAGUAUUUUGCGUGACCUUCCAGGCAUCUUCCAUGUGGAUUAGCACAGACAGUCUCUGGAUUGAUGAU
ensembl:lncRNA